rnacentral:rRNA from 1 species
GACGAGCGCUGGCGGCGUGCUUAACACAUGCAAGUCGAACGGAAAGGCCCUGCUUUUGUGGGGUGCUCGAGUGUCGAACGGGUGAGUAACACGUGAGUAACCUGCCCUUGACUUUGGGAUAACUUCAGGAAACUGGGGCUAAUACCGGAUAGGAGCUCCUGCUGCAUGGUGGGGGUUGGAAAGUUUCGGCGGUUGGGGAUGGACUCGCGGCUUAUCAGCUUGUUGGUGGGGUAGUGGCUUACCAAGGCUUUGACGGGUAGCCGGCCUGAGAGGGUGACCGGCCACAUUGGGACUGAGAUACGGCCCAGACUCCUACGGGAGGCAGCAGUGGGGAAUAUUGCACAAUGGGCGGAAGCCUGAUGCAGCAACGCCGCGUGCGGGAUGACGGCCUUCGGGUUGUAAACCGCUUUCGCCUGUGACGAAGCGUGAGUGACGGUAAUGGGUAAAGAAGCACCGGCUAACUACGUG